UACGGAAGGCAGCAGUGGGGAAUAUUGCACAAUGGGCGAAAGCCUGAUGCAGCUAUGCCGCGUGUAUGAAGAAGGCCUUAGGGUUGUAAAGUACUUUCAUCGGGGAGGAAAAAACAAAACUAAUAAUUUUAUUUCUUGACGUUACCCGAAAAAGAAGCACCGGCUAACUCCGUGCCAGCAGCCGCGGUAAUACGGAGGGUGCUAGCGUUAAUCAGAAUUACUGGGCGUAAAGAGCACGUAGGUGGUUUUUUUAAGUCAGAUGUGAAAUCCCUGGGCUUAACCUAGGAACUGCAUUUUGAAACUGAAGUACUAGAGUAUCGUAGAGGGAGGUAGAAUUCUAGGUGUAGCGGUGAAAUGCGUAGAUAUCUGGAGGAAUACCUGUGGCGAAAGCGGCCUCCUAAACGAAUACUGACACUGAGGUGCGAAAGCGUGGGGAGCAAACAGGGAUUAGAUACC
rnacentral:rRNA from 1 species